rnacentral:rRNA from 1 species
UACGUAGGGUGCAAGCGUUGUCCGGAAUUAUUGGGCGUAAAGAGCUCGUAGGCGGUUUGUCGCGUCUGCUGUGAAAACCCGAGGCUCAACCUCGGGCCUGCGGUCGAUACGGGCAGGCUAGAGUUCGGUAGGGGAGACUGGAAUUCCUGGUGUAGCGGUGAAAUGCGCAGAUAUCAGGAGGAACACCGGUGGCGAAGGCGGGUCUCUGGGCCGAUACUGACGCUGAGGAGCGAAAGCGUGGGGAGCGAACAGG